GUCCCCUCCGCCGGGGACCCCUCGGGGCCGGUUCCUCCUCCGAAAGAGGCUCUCUUGCUGCUUUGGCUGCAGGCGGAGCGCCAGCGGUAACUGCGAUGAGAUGCUCCAUCUGACGCGGCUGAAAGGAGCUAGGCUGUGAGUCCUGGUGUGAU
rnacentral:lncRNA from 1 species